GAUGAAGAACGCAGUGAAAUGCGAUAAGUAAUGUGAAUUGCAGAAUUCAGUGAAUCAUCGAAUCUUUGAACGCACAUUGCGCCCAGUAGUAUUCUAGUGGGCAUGCCUGUUCGAGCGUCAUUAAGUCCACUUAAGCCCUGCUUAGUGUUGGGAGACUGCUCCAGCGGUGCUACCCUGUAGCUACCCUGCAGCUCCUCAAAGACAGCGGCGGAGUUGUGGUAUCCUCUGAGCUUAGUAACUUGUUCUAGCUUUCGAGUACACCACUUCCCCUGCCGUAAAACCCUUAAUUUUUAAUGGUUGACCUCGGAUCAGGUAGGAAUACCCGCUGAACUUAAGCAUAUCAAUAAGCGGAGGA
rnacentral:misc_RNA from 1 species